AUUGAACGCUGGCGGCAGGCCUAACACAUGCAAGUCGAGCGAGCGGCGGACGGGUGAGUAAUGUAUGGGAAACUGCCCGAUGGAGGGGGAUAACUACUGGAAACGGUAGCUAAUACCGCAUACUAUCGGAUGUGCCCAGAUGGGAUUAGCUAGUAGGUGGGGUAAUGGCUUACCUAGGCGACGAUCCCUAGCUGGUCUGAGAGGAUGACCAGCCACACUGGAACUGAGACACGGUCCAGACUCUUACGGGAGGCAGCAGUGGGGAAUAUUGCACAAUGGGCGCAAGCCUGAUGCAGCCAUGCCGCGUGUAUGAAGAAGGCCUUAGGGUUGUAAAGUACUUUCAGCGGGGAGGCGUUACCGGCAGAAGAAGCACCGGCUAACUCCGUGCCAGCAGCCGCGGUAAUAC
rnacentral:rRNA from 1 species